CUGCAGAUAUGAAACACAGAGAAUGCUAGAGAAAGUCAGUAGGCUUGGCAGCAUCUGCAGGGAGAGAAACAGCGUUAACAAUUUGAGUUUGAGGAAAAGGCCAGUUGACUAAUGGUACCAUCAAUCCUUACCAGGAUAAAACAGUUCCACCAUUUGCAGUCAAGCUCAAGAUGCAGGAGUUGGAAGAGGAAAAGCGUGCAGUUGAAAUGUUAAACGUGUGGGAGGCAGCAUCACCCCUGACAAAUUCUGUCAUUGGCAAUGAUGUGAAAAAAAAAAUAGGUUAAUAAAUACAUCUUGCAUGUCGCAUA